rnacentral:tRNA from 1 species
GCACUCGUGGCCUAAUGGACAAGGCGCCAGCCUCCGGAGCUGGAGAUUGUGGGUUCAAGUCCCACCGAGUGCG